GGGGAUUUCUCAAGGGCGACGACGGGUAGCCGGCCUGAGAGGGCGACCGGCCACACUGGGACUGAGACACGGCCCAGACUCCUACGGGAGGCAGCAGUGGGGAAUAUUGCACAAUGGGCGAAAGCCUGAUGCAGCGACGCCGCGUGAGGGAUGACGGCCUUCGGGUUGUAAACCUCUUUCAGCAGGGAAGAAGCGCAAGUGACGGUACCUGCAGAAGAAGCGCCGGCUAACUACGUGCCAGCAGCCGCGGUAAUACGUAGGGCGCAAGCGUUGUCCGGAAUUAUUGGGCGUAAAGAGCUCGUAGGCGGCUUGUCACGUCGGAUGUGAAAGCCCGGGGCUUAACCCCGGGUCUGCAUUCGAUACGGGCUAGCUAGAGUGUGGUAGGGGAGAUCGGAAUUCCUGGUGUAGCGGUGAAAUGCGCAGAUAUCAGGAGGAACACCGGUGGCGAAGGCGGAUCUCUGGGCCAUUACUGACGCUGAGGAGCGAAAGCGUGGGGAGCGAACAGGAUUAGAUACCCUGGUAGUCCACGCCGUAAACGUUGGGAACUAGGUGUUGGCGACAUUCCACGUCGUCGGUGCCGCAGCUAACGCAUUAAGUUCCCCGCCUGGGGGAGUACGGA
rnacentral:rRNA from 1 species